UCCAGACUCCUACGGGAGGCAGCAGUGAGGAAUAUUGGUCAAUGGCCGGAAGGCUGAACCAGCCAAGCCGCGUGAAGGACGAAGGUGCCAAGCAUUGUAAACUUCUUUUGUCAAGGGACAGAAUCAGGCUCGAGAGCCUGGCCGAGGGUACUUGAAGAAAAAGCAUCGGCUAACUCCGUGCCAGCAGCCGCGGUAAUACGUAGGGGGCAAGCGUUAUCCGGAUUCACUGGGUGUAAAGGGAGCGUAGACGGCGGCGCAAGUCUGGAGUGAAAGCCCGGGGCCCAACCCCGGGACUGCUCUGGAAACUGCGGCGCUGGAGUACGGGAGGGGCAGGCGGAAUUCCUGGUGUAGCGGUGAAAUGCGUAGAUAUUAGGAGGAACACCAGUGGCGAAGGCGGCUUGCUGGACAGAGACUGACGUUGAGGCUCGAAAGCAUGGGGAGCAAACAGGAUUAGAUACCCGUGUA
rnacentral:rRNA from 1 species